rnacentral:rRNA from 1 species
AGCGAACGCUGGCGGCAGGCUUAACACAUGCAAGUCGAACGGGCAUCUUCGGAUGUCAGUGGCAGACGGGUGAGUAACACGUGGGAACGUACCCUUCGGUUCGGAAUAACUCAGGGAAACUUGAUCUAAUACCGGAUACGCCCUUUUGGGGAAAGGUUUACUGCCGAAGGAUCGGCCCGCGUCUGAUUAGCUUGUUGGUGGGGUAACGGCCUACCAAGGCGACGAUCAGUAGCUGGUCUGAGAGGAUGAUCAGCCACACUGGGACUGAGACACGGCCCAGACUCCUACGGGAGGCAGCAGUGGGGAAUAUUGGACAAUGGGCGCAAGCCUGAUCCAGCCAUGCCGCGUGAGUGAUGAAGGCCUUAGGGUUGUAAAGCUCUUUUGUCCGGGACGAUAAUGACGGUACCGGAAGAAUAAGCCCCGGCUAACUUCGUG